rnacentral:rRNA from 1 species
UACGGAGGGUGCAAGCGUUAUCCGGAUUCACUGGGUUUAAAGGGUGCGUAGGUGGGCAGGUAAGUCAGUGGUGAAAUCUCCGGGCUUAACUCGGAAACUGCCAUUGAUACUAUCUGUCUUGAAUACCGUGGAGGUCAGCGGAAUAUGUCAUGUAGCGGUGAAAUGCUUAGAUAUGACAUAGAACACCAAUUGCGAAGGCAGCUGGCUAGACGAAUAUUGACACUGAUGCACGAAAGCGUGGGGAUCAAACAGG